CGUAGGGUGCUAGCGUUGUUCGGAAUCAUUGGGCGUAAAGCGCGUGUAGGCUGCUAGGUAAGUCGAUUGUGAAAUCCCUGGGCUCAACCGAGGAAGUGCGGUCGAAACUCCCUAGCUAGAAGACGGUAGAGGAAGGUGGAAUUCCAAGUGUAGAGGUGAAAUUCGUAGAUAUUUGGAGGAAUACCGGUGGCGAAGGCGGCCUUCUGGACCGCUCUUGACGCUGAGACGCGAAAGCGUGGGUAGCAAACAGGAUUAGAUACCCUGGUAGUCCACGCCGUAAACGAUGGGUACUAGGUGUUGCAGGAAUUGACCCCUGCAGUGCCGAAGCUAACGCAUUAAGUACCCCGCCUGGGAAGUACGGCCGCAAGGUUA
rnacentral:rRNA from 1 species